rnacentral:rRNA from 1 species
UGGGCCCGCGGCGCAUUAGCUAGUUGGUGAGGUAACGGCUCACCAAGGCAACGAUGCGUAGCCGACCUGAGAGGGUGAUCGGCCACACUGGGACUGAGACACGGCCCAGACUCCUACGGGAGGCAGCAGUAGGGAAUCUUCCGCAAUGGACGAAAGUCUGACGGAGCAACGCCGCGUGAACGAUGAAGGUCUUCGGAUCGUAAAGUUCUGUUGUUAGGGAAGAACAAGUACCGUGCGAAUAGAACGGUACCUUGACGGUACCUAACGAGGAAGCCCCGGCUAACUACGUGCCAGCAGCCGCGGUAAUACGUAGGGGGCAAGCGUUGUCCGGAAUUAUUGGGCGUAAAGCGCGCGCAGGCGGUUCCUUAAGUCUGAUGUGAAAGGCCACGGCUCAACCGUGGAGGGCCAUUGGAAACUGGGGAACUUGAGGACAGAAGAGGAGAGUGGAAUUCCACGUGUAGCGGUGAAAUGCG